AACCUGGUUGAUCUUGCCAGUAGUCAUAUGCUUGUCUCACAGAUUAAGCCAUGCAAGUGAAAGUACAUAUGUAAAUAAUAUAUUGAAACUGCGAACGGCUCAUUAAAACAGUUAUAAUCUACUUGAUGUUUUUAAUAUAAGGAUAACUACGGAAAAUCUGUAGCUAAUACUUGUGAAAAUACCUUUUGAUAUAUACAUAUGUAUGUAUCAUUAAGGUAUGUAUUUGUUAGAUAUAAGAAUAAAAUAAAUAUAAUUGAAUUAUAACAAAGAAGAAACACAUAAAAUAUGUGUAUUAUCAAUCGAGUAUCUGACCUAUCAGCUUUUGAUGUUAGGGUAUUGACCUAACAUGGCUAUGACGGGUAACGGGGAAUUAGAGUUCGAUUCCGGAGAGGGAGCCUGAGAAAUAGCUACCACAUCUAAGGAAGGCAGCAGGCGCGUAAAUUACCCAAUUCUAAAAAAGAGAGGUAGUGACAAGAAAUAACAAUACAAUAUCGAAAAAUGAUUUUGUAAUUGGAAUGAUAGGAAUUUACAAGGUUCCUAGAGAAACAAUUGGAGGGCAAGUCUGGUGCCAGCAGCCGCGGUAAUUCCAGCUCCAAUAGCAUAUAUUAAAAUUGUUGCAGUUAAAACGUUCGUAGUUGAAUAUUAAAGAAUCCGAUGUUUCAUUUAAACUGGUUUGGGAAAACCAAAUAUAUUAUAUAUUUUGCUUUGUUCAAAAUAAGGUUUUCUAAUAAAUUAUGUUUUUAUCAGAUAUGACAGAAUCUUUUUUAAAAUCUCUUCAAUAUGCUUUUAUUGCUUUUGAGAGGUUUUGUUACUUUGAGUAAAAUUAAGUGUUCAUAACAGACGGGUAGUCAUGAUUGAGUUCAUUGUGUUUGAAUACUACAGCAUGGAAUAACAAAUAUGAAUAAGCUAAUUAUUUUUUUUUUUCAUAAUUUUUUUUGAUAUUCUUAUUAGCUUAGUUACGAUUAAUAGGAGUAGCUUUGGGGGCAUUCGUAUUCAGAUGUCAGAGGUGAAAUUCUAAGAUUUUCUGGAGACGGACUACUGCGAAAGCAUUUGCCUAAUCUAUUUCCAUUAAUCAAGAACGAAAGUUAAGGGAGUGAAGACGAUCAGAUACCGUCGUAAUCUUAACCAUAAACUAUACCGACUAGGUGUUGGAUGAAUAUAAAAAAUAUAUAAAUAUGUAGCAUUUCUUAGGGAAUGUUGAUUUUAUAUUAGAAUUGCUUCCUUCAGUACCUUAUGAGAAAUCAAAGUCUUUGGGUUCUGGGGCGAGUAUUCGCGCAAGCGAGAAAGUUAAAAGAAUUGACGGAAGGGCACCACCAGGCGUGGAGCUUGCGGCUUAAUUUGACUCAACACGGGAAAACUCACUAGUUUAAGACAAGAGUAGGAUUGACAGAUUAAUAGCUCUUUCUUGAUUUCUUGGAUGGUGAUGCAUGGCCGUUUUUAGUUCGUGAAUAUGAUUUGUCUGGUUAAUUCCGAUAACGAACGAGAUCUUAACCUGCUAAUUAGCGGUAAGUACACUAUAUUUUUAUUUGAAAUUGAAUAUAGGUAAUUAUACAUGUUUAUUCAGUGUUCAAAUUAGGAUAUUUUUUUAUUAAAAUAUUCUUUUCCCUGUUCUACUAUAAUAAUUUGUUUUUUUUUACUCUAUUUCUCUCUUCUUUUAAGAAUGUACUUGUUUGAUUAAAUAAAGCUUCUUAGAGGAACAGUGUGUAUCUAACACAAGGAAGUUUAAGGCAACAACAGGUCUGUGAUGUCCUUAGAUAAACUAGGCUGCACGCGUGCUACAAUGAUAUAUAUAACAAGUUGUUAAAAAUGUACUUAUAAAUAAGUGUGUACAGUUUUUCCUGUACUGAAAAGUAUAGGUAAUCUUUAUCAGUAUAUAUCGUAAUUGGGAUAGAUUAUUGCAAUUAUUAAUCUUGAACGAGGAAUGCCUAGUAAGCAUGAUUCAUUAGAUUGUGCUGACUACGUCCCUGCCCUUUGUACACACCGCCCGUCGCUCCUACCGAUUGAAAGAUAUGAUGAAUUGUUUGGAUAUGAAUUAAAAUAAUGAAAUUUUAUAUUUCUGAUUUUUUCUAGAAGAACUGUAAAUCCUAUCUUUUAAAGGAAGGAGAAGUCGUAACAAGGUUUCCGUAGGUGAACCUGCGGAAGGAUCAUUA
rnacentral:rRNA from 2 species